UGCUCUGAUGAAAUCACUCAUAGGAAGUGCCGUCAGAUGCAAAAAAAAAAAAAGUAUGUUGUGAUG
ensembl:snoRNA